GCGGAUGGCCGGAUGACCGCGGCGGCAACGUCGAGGAAAGUCCGGACUCCAUAAAGGUACGGUGCCGGGUAACGCCCGGCGGGGGAAACCCCAGGGAAAGCGCCACAGAGAAGAAACCGCCCAUGCAUGCAUGGGCAAGGGUGAAACGGUGGGGUAAGAGCCCACCGCGGGGCUGGUAACAGUCCCGGCACGGCAAGCCCCACCGGGAGCAACGCCGAAUAGGGACCGCGCGUCGCAAGACAGGGCUGCCUUUGCCCCAGCAGGUCCGGGUUGGCAGCUAGAUCCCGUCGGUAACGGCGGGGCCAGAGGAAUGGUCAUCGAAGGGGGCGACCCCGGAACAAAAUCCGGCUUACAGGCCAUCCGCGCGA
rnacentral:RNase_P_RNA from 1 species